rnacentral:rRNA from 1 species
GACCUCAAAUCAGGUAGGACUACCCGCUGAACUUAAGCAUAUCAAUAAGCGGAGGAAAAGAAACUAACAAGGAUUCCCCUAGUAACUGCGAGUGAAGCGGGAAAAGCUCAAAUUUAAAAUCUGGCGGUCUUUGGCUGUCCGAGUUGUAAUCUAGAGAAGUGUUAUCCGCGCUGGACCGUGUACAAGUCUCCUGGAAUGGAGCGUCAUAGAGGGUGAGAAUCCCGUCUUUGACACGGACUGCCAGGGCUUUGUGAUGCGCUCUCAAAGAGUCGAGUUGUUUGGGAAUGCAGCUCAAAAUGGGUGGUAAAUUCCAUCUAAAGCUAAAUAUUGGCGAGAGACCGAUAGCGAACAAGUACCGUGAGGGAAAGAUGAAAAGAACUUUGGAAAGAGAGUUAAACAGUACGUGAAAUUGCUGAAAGGGAAACGCUUGAAGUCAGUCGCGUUGUCCGGGGAUCAACCUUGCUUUUGCUGGGUGUACUUUCCGGUUAACGGGUCAGCAUCAAUUUUGACCGUUGGAUAAAGUCUAUGGGAAUGUGGCAUCUUCGGAUGUGUUAUAGCCUGUAGUCGCAUACAACGGUUGGGAUUGAGGAACUCAGCACGCCGCAAGGCCGGGUUUUUAACCACGUUCGUGCUUAGGAUGCUGGCAUAAUGGCUUUAAUCGACCCGUCUUGAAACACGGACCAAGGAGUCUAACAUGCCUGCGAGUGUUUGGGUGGAAAACCCGAGCGCGUAAUGAAAGUGAAAGUUGAGAUCCCUGUCGUGGGGAGCAUCGACGCCCGGACCAGACCUUUUGUGACGGAUCCGCGGUAGAGCAUGUAUGUUGGGACCCGAAAGAUGGUGAACUAUGCCUGAAUAGGGUGAAGCCAGAGGAAACUCUGGUGGAGGCUCGUAGCGAUUCUGACGUGCAAAUCGAUCGUCAAAUUUGGGUAUAGGGGCGAAAGACUAAUCGAACCAUCUAGUAGCUGGUUCCU